rnacentral:rRNA from 1 species
AGGGUUCGAUUCUGGCUCAGGAUGAACGCUGGCGGCGUGCUUAACACAUGCAAGUCGAACGGGAUCCAUCAAGCUUGCUUGGUGGUGAGAGUGGCGAACGGGUGAGUAAUGCGUGACCGACCUGCCCCAUACACCGGAAUAGCUCCUGGAAACGGGUGGUAAUGCCGGAUGCUCCAGUUGAUCGCAUGGUCUUCUGGGAAAGCUUUCGCGGUAUGGGAUGGGGUCGCGUCCUAUCAGCUUGACGGCGGGGUAACGGCCCACCGUGGCUUCGACGGGUAGCCGGCCUGAGAGGGCGACCGGCCACAUUGGGACUGAGAUACGGCCCAGACUCCUACGGGAGGCAGCAGUGGGGAAUAUUGCACAAUGGGCGCAAGCCUGAUGCAGCGACGCCGCGUGAGGGAUGGAGGCCUUCGGGUUGUAAACCUCUUUUAUCGGGGAGCAAGCGAGAGUGAGUUUACCCGUUGAAUAAGCACCGGCUAACUACGUGCCAGCAGCCGCGGUAAUACGUAGGGUGCAAGCGUUAUCCGGAAUUAUUGGGCGUAAAGGGCUCGUAGGCGGUUCGUCGCGUCCGGUGUGAAAGUCCAUCGCUUAACGGUGGAUCCGCGCCGGGUACGGGCGGGCUUGAGUGCGGUAGGGGAGACUGGAAUUCCCGGUGUAACGGUGGAAUGUGUAGAUAUCGGGAAGAACACCAAUGGCGAAGGCAGGUCUCUGGGCCGUUACUGACGCUGAGGAGCGAAAGCGUGGGGAGCGAACAGGAUUAGAUACCCUGGUAGUCCACGCCGUAAACGGUGGAUGCUGGAUGU